UACGUAGGGGGCAAGCGUUGUCCGGAAUCAUUGGGCGUAAAGAGCUCGUAGGCGGCUUGUCGCGUCGUUCGUGAAAACCUGCAGCUCAACUGCAGGCUUGCGGUCGAUACGGGCAGGCUAGAGUUCGGUAGGGGAGACUGGAAUUCCUGGUGUAGCGGUGGAAUGCGCAGAUAUCAGGAGGAACACCGGUGGCGAAGGCGGGUCUCUGGGCAGUAACUGACGCUGAGGAGCGAAAGCGUGGGGAGCGAACAGG
rnacentral:rRNA from 1 species